rnacentral:lncRNA from 1 species
GUGCCGUUCCGCCGAGGUUCCGGUCCGCAGUCCCGUUAUUACAUCAAAAAAUCAAGAAAUGGAAAAGACUAGCUAAGCCUGCCAACUACGAGUUACAAGAUUCCUAUCUUUGAGUCUUCUGAAGCUUGAUCUUGAGUUUUGAAUGGUUCUUCAUACAGACUUUGGAUUUGAACCUAGACGUUUGCUAGUUGCAGGUGCUAGUUCGUUCUUCUUCUUCAGCCUUUCAGACCAAAACGGGACAUGCAGAGCUUGUGACCUCAGCCCUGUCUUGAGCAACUCACAUCUUUCAUUAACUUCUGCAUUUGGAUUCACUUCUUGUCUUUCUUUUUGUUCAAGAUUGUGACUAACUUCUGUUGAUCAUCUCGAACUGCUGACUCGCAUUCUUGAUGCGAGCUUCUUUUGUUGCUGACCUGAAUUGCAUUCUGAAUUGAAUUCUAUUAUUUUCCAGGUGGGCGCCUGAUUGCUGAACUUGAACCGUCUUUUCUUGUUAAUUGACACUGUUUUCCCUUGCACCUUGAACCAUUUUCCUUCGAAACUUGAAUUGUCUUCCUUCGAAACUGCUUUCCCUUGAAACUCGAGUUGUCUUCCUUCGAAACUGCUUUCCCUUGAAACUUGAGGUAUCUUCCCUUGUUCUCCAGGUGGGCACCUGAUUACAAGAAAACAGACAAAACAAAAGAAAUUUUUUCUGUCCCAGUUUGCACUAGGAAGAUUUGUGAGUUUUUAGCAAAAUUAUAAAUCACUUGUACUAUUGAUGCAAUGAUGAGACUAAACUAAAGAAUAGACUAGGAAAACUAUAAACUAAGUUUGACUAAAGUAAAGACUGACCCUAUUCUCCAGGCGGGGCCCCUGAUUUAAAGAAAACUAAACAUUGAUAACUUAAGAAAACUAAAAAUUGACCCAUUUUUUCAAAUCCAGACUUUCAUUUUUUUUUCAAAAUAUCCUAGGAGAAAAUUCGUGAGACUAGGUUUUCUAUCUUAGGAGAAAGAUUCAUCAGACUAAGACGUUAAUCCUAGGAGGAAAUUCAUCAGACUAGGCCUUUUCCUUUUUUUUUUGUUUUUUUGUAUCUUAGGAGAAAGAUUCAUCCGACUAAGACGUUUACCCUAGGAGAAAAUUCAUCAAACUAGAUUUUCUAUCUUAGGAGAAAGAUUCAUCAUACUAAGAUUUCUAUCCUAGGAGAAAAUUCAUCAGACAAGGUCUUCCAUCUUAGGAGAAAGAUUCAUCAGAAUAAGAUUUUGAUCCUAGGAGAAAGAUUCAUCAAACUAGGUCUUCUAUCUUAGGAGAAAGAUUCAUCAGACUAAGAUUUUGAUUGGGAGGAAAAUCCAUCAGACUAGGACUUUUUAUCCUAGGAGGAAAAAUGUGAAGAUCAAUGGCAAGAUUUUAUGCACAAUAGCAAGACAAAUAAAGGAAAAGAUUUGAGAAACUUCCCUUUGUAGGCUUUCCUCGUCUUUUCUUUUUCUUCUCUUUUUUUUGUUGUUGUUUUUUUUCCUUUUUUUUCAUUUUUUUUCUCUUUUUGAAUCACUUUCCUUGCACCGCUUUGUUCCUGUUUCAUACAAAGAAAAAUUUGUCAGUUUUGAAAAUAGUGGUCGGUUUGUGGCCUUGAGUCUUGGGCAGCUUGGCUUAUGCUCAAUCAGCUUGAGUCAGUCUCAAAAAGACUUUU